AGGUGCGAUCAUAACAACGCUGAUGCUCCAGAUCCCAUCAGAACUCUGCAAUUAAGCGUGCUUGUACCUGAGUAGUACUAGGAUGGGUGACCUCCUGGGAAGUCCUCGUGUUGCACCUC